AAAAAGAUAAGCUAAUUAAGCUCAUGGGUUCAUACCCCAUUUAUAAAGGCUCUUAAUCCUUUUCUUUUUA
rnacentral:tRNA from 1 species